rnacentral:rRNA from 1 species
CAGCCGCCGCGGUAAUACAGAGGGUGCGAGCGUUAAUCGGAUUUACUGGGCGUAAAGCGUGCGUAGGCGGCUUUUUAAGUCGGAUGUGAAAUCCCUGAGCUUAACUUAGGAAUUGCAUUCGAUACUGGGAAGCUAGAGUAUGGGAGAGGAUGGUAGAAUUCCAGGUGUAGCGGUGAAAUGCGUAGAGAUCUGGAGGAAUACCGAUGGCGAAGGCAGCCAUCUGGACUAAUACUGACGCUGAGGUACGAAAGCAUGGGGAGCAAACAGGAUUAGAUACCCGAGUAGUCCCUGUCUCUUAUAC